rnacentral:rRNA from 1 species
GUCUAUGGCCAUGCCACCCUGAACAAGCCUGAUCCUGUCUGAUCUCGGAAGCUCAGCAGGGUCGGGCCUGGUUAGUACUUGGAUGGGAGACCACCUAGGAAGACCAGGUGUUGUACACG